AAGUAUGUACGCUGGCGGCGUGCCUAAUACAUGCAAGUCGAGCGAAUGGAUUGAGAGCUUGCUCUCAAGAAGUUAGCGGCGGACGGGUGAGUAACACGUGGGUAACCUGCCCAUAAGACUGGGAUAACUCCGGGAAACCGGGGCUAAUACCGGAUAACAUUUUGAACCGCAUGGUUCGAAAUUGAAAGGCGGCUUCGGCUGUCACUUAUGGAUGGACCCGCGUCGCAUUAGCUAGUUGGUGAGGUAACGGCUCACCAAGGCAACGAUGCGUAGCCGACCUGAGAGGGUGAUCGGCCACACUGGGACUGAGACACGGCCCAAACUCCUACGGGAGGCAGCAUUAGGGAAUCUUCCGCAAUGGACAAAAGUCUGACGGAGCAACGCCGCGUGAGUGAUGAAGGCUUUCGGGUCGUAAAACUCUGUUGUUAGGAAAAAACAUGUGCUUGUUGAGUAGUCUGGUUAUUGACGGUAC
rnacentral:rRNA from 1 species